CCCCCCGUCUGUCGAAAAAAAAACACGCGGCCCGAUCCAGAUCCCCGACCUCCUCUUCUCUCCCAACCCACUCGCCGCCGGCCUCCCUUCCACCUCCUCUCCUCCGUCCGUCCGCCCCCAUGCCCCCCGCCGCCUGCGCCACGCCGGCGGCCGCGCGCCCGCCGCUCCCCGUCUCGCGCCGCUGCCCCCUGCAGCCGAGGGACGGCAACGCGGCGGCCUCCCUGUCCUUGGGCGGCGCCGUCCUUGCCAAAUCGAAGGCGAAGGCACCGGCGGCUGCCGCGUCGCCGCCGUCGGUGAGGUCGUAUGCUGCCAGGGUUGACGCGGAGAGCAGGGCGGCGGCGGUGGCGAUUGAGAAGAAGGUGUCGCUGGCAGAGGAGCUGGAGAAGGUGCGGGAGCGGCGGGGACGGGUGAUGGCGGAGCUGAUACGCCUCAUCGAGAUGCAGUCUCAAUUAUCUGUAUUCGGUGGUGAAACACUGAAACUAGAGAUACAGUGGAGUGACUUUCCUGUAGAGGGAAUUAGGGAGGUUUAUUCUGAUGAGAUUAUUUCCCAUGAGAUAUAGACACGAUGCAAAACCAAGGUAUGCUCAUGCGCAUAAUUCAUACCCUAGUAAGUACAGAUAUGUAGCAAUAGUGAGGGAGUGGUGCAUGUCUUAAUUCAUUAAGCCACUGUGAAAUUACUGUUAAUUAAGAUAGUACAGCAGGCACUAGUAAUAGUGCUGCUGUUGCUGAUAUUGCCAUUGCCACAUUUCACUGCACUCGUAUACGCGCACUUUGAUUAUCUGUGCCACUUUUUUUGCCUGUCUAACGAGCACAUAUUUUAGUAAAAACUGGAGGAGCGCAGAGUUCCCGUGAUGUGCAUUAUGCCCCUUCUCAUGAUGUGCGCUACCCUCAGGGCCAGCGCAUAAUGCGAUGAGCGCCAAUGAACAGACAAACGGUAAACUGUUGGCUGCUGCCGAAGGAGCAAGCAAUGUUCAGUUCUGACAAGUGAUAAAGUGGUAUUCCGACGAGUGUUCUCACUUGUCUGAUGAUGUGCAGAUUUUGAUUGCCUUGUGAACUUGAUUAAGAUUAUCAGAUGUUAAGUCAUUCAACCAUGUGUUUGCGUGCCAUGUAAAUUUCCAUUGCCAUGGGGUUAACCUGUUUGUACAAAUUAAAGUAACUUGAUUAAGGUGUUAAAUCUGUCAAGCGGUCAGUCACAGUACUGUGCAGUCAGCCAUGUCCUGAUUUAGAGAAGUAACAUUUUUUUUGAAAUAGUAGAACAUGCAGUCCUUUUACAAAUGAAAGAGAGGCAAAGAAAGUGUUGAACAAGAACAACUAUCAGCACAACAUGUUGUCUAUGUUCCGCUGGAAACGUUGAUUUCUAAGGAGGAGAGGAAGAGAAUACAGGGGACUGCAUCUUCAGAUUCUCAGUUAUGGAUAAUUACAAGAACAUUCCUCAAUUCCUCUAUGGCUUAAGCCCAUCUCAGAUGGAAAUGUUUAAAACUGACGACAACCCUUAUAAUCGGCAGUCAAAGAAAGUUACAGAGAAAUCUUGGAUUCAUAAAUGGGAGAAGCACAUAAGUGAGAAGAUGAUGAUUGCAAGGAUGGAGAGGGAGCAAAUCAUUUGGAGGGAUAGAAUGCCACUAUUUGGUGUUUUUAUGCAUUUUUGUUUGCUUUCAACUGUGUUUGCACUAGCUGGGAAUAAGUGACUAGGCAAUAAGUGUAGAUGUAUGUAUAUGCUCUAAUGCUCCUGGUUUACUAUAAAUCUUUGAUUUGGAAUGAUGUGUAAUGCUGCUAGUUUAUUAUAAAUCUGGGCUUGUUUUA